UACGGGGGGGUAAGCGUUGUUCGGAAUUACUGGGCGUAAAGGGCUCGUAGGCGGCCAACUAAGUCGGACGUGAAAUCCCUCAGCUUAACUGGGGAACUGCGUCCGAUACUGGAUGGCUUGGAUUUGGGAGAGGGAUGCGGAAUUCCAGGUGUAGCGGUGAAAUGCGUAGAUAUCUGGAGGAAUACCGGUGGCGAAGGCGGCAUCCUGGACCGAGAUUGACACUGAUGAGCGAAAGCCAGGGGAGCAAACGGG
rnacentral:rRNA from 1 species